CGGGGAGGGGGUAGGAGGGAGAGAGAGAGGGGAAGAGAGUGCUCUCGCUAGGAGAAAGAGAGAGAGAGGCGGGGGGAGGAGAGAGAGAGAGAGAGAGAGAGAGAGAGCGUGCGCUAACCCUUGUUGGUACCUUGAUUUCCUUCCUGGUAUUCCGGCAGGAAAUGACAGAUUCCUUGCUACUUCUCGACACCAUGAGUUUUCAGUGUUUAGAGAAAAUUCUUGUUUCCCUGUGAAUGAUGAGGGAUUGCACGUAUCAGGUCUUGGUCAUUAUGUCUCAACCACAGUAGUAAUCAUGGAAAUUUUGCAGGUGCUCUGUAGAAGUUGUAUUCCUUGAAAAUGGUCUUGACCUUGGAGUACUACAGCUAUUCAAGCAGAGGUAAUGCUUUCAUAAUGAUGGAAAUGACUGAGCUCAUGUAUAGGUGCCCUGCUAGAACAAGCUGUGUCCUUUCACCCAUGUAUCAUACUGUGUUUUCCAGGUUUCCUGUCGAGAUCAUGAUGAACGUCCCGCUAGUGAUUCUCUGGGGACAUUUCUGUUCCCCAGAAAAGUGAUGAUGUUCACCUCCAUUGUUUCAAAUGAUCUCAUCUUCUCAUAUCGAUAUAUGUGUGAUCGAUGGCCUAAACUUACCGUUUGUGUAUGUGUGUGCGCGUGUGUGUUUUAGAUAAUCAGGUAAGAAAUGACAGCAUUUUGUCUACGGCCAUACCACCCUGAACGUGCCCGAUCUCGUCUGAUCUCGGAAGGUAAGCAGGGUCGGGCCUGGUUAGUACUUGGAUGCGAGAAAUGACAGCAUUUUGCCAAUUACUGCUCUCCUGCUAUUCUAGUGUUUCCUAUUUCAGAGAAAGACUAUGUUUACUUCUGUGAGUGAUAGGUGAAUUCUGACGUGAAUAGCCAUAAUCAUGGAGUUGUGUGAUGGGGUAGUACCCUUGGGUUUGUGCAGGUGAGCAGGAGAGUGGUGAAGGUGUGGCUAUCUUUGGCAUAGACCUUGAAGGACUGCAACAAUGCGGGAAGAGCGGAAGGGUCCUGCUGUGAGGGCAAUGAACAAGAUGAUGUGCCGUGGCCUAGUAGGAGUGUCCAUAGACGCAUUGUUCGCAAAGUGGUUUUUAAAUUACCAUCGAGAGGUCAUGGUAAAUUUCAAGAUGGUCAUUGAUUAGACUUUGCAUCUGUUCAAGUAAGUGGUGAUAUGGGCCUUAAGCACCCUACAAAUGGAUUUUCAGAUAUUUAGGUAAGGGUAGAUGGUGUUCCUAACUGUUCUGUUACCACAUGUCUAUGCAGGUGUUCGGUUCAGAAAUGAUACUGUUCCAACCAGUGGUAGUAAGUAUGAGCCGUUAUUUAUUUCUGUUUUUAAAUUGAGAUCUAAUGUGUAUUUAACUUCAGUGGUGAUAACAGAAUAUGCAUUUCCAGGGGACUUUUAGCCAGCAAUAGUGACCAUGAGAUUUCUAGAAGUACUGCUAGAAGAGAUGUUAGUGUGUCUGACAAUGGUGUUGACAUUCAAGUUGGGCCAAAAUCCAUAUCGUGUUAUGUUUUCCCUAAUGAUGGAAUUGACUGAGAUUAUGUGAAAAUAGGCUAUUUAUUUAUUUAUUUAUUUAUUUAUUUAUUUUGACAGGUCAACAAGUUGUAUCCUGCCACAGGCUUGUUGAGUGUUUGUGUCAAGAUUCUAGCAGUCCUGACAUCACAGUGACCCAGAGCGUUGUCAUCAAUGGGAACUUACUGGUAACCAGGUAUGUGAUAAAGUGGUUUAUCACAAUAGACAUAUCUGAUCCUCAACUCUCCAGGUGAGGGAGGUUAGUGUCUCUAGCACAGUGUACCGUGCUUUUUUUGAAAGUUUCCUAUUGACUUCUUUGCUAGUUCUUUACCGUUUCGAGUUGAUGUGAUAGUAAGUCAUUAGGUCCAUUCACUCUGUAAGUGUGGAUGGAUUUCCCAAGUUGUUGUUAGUAUGCUUUUGUUUUUGUUUUUUUUUUUUGACCGGUAUUCGGGUAAGGAAUGACACGGUCCCCACAAAUGGUAGGAUGCAUGCUAGUAAGUAUUUUAAAGUUUAGAUAGAAUGUGUGUUUAGCCCUAGUGGUGACAGAGGGAUACACAGGUGUGCAAGUCCCUUAUCCUAAGGGGCCACAGCACAGUCAUGAACCUGAAAUUUUAUAGGUACUCAGGAGAUGAUGGUUUCUCUAACAGUGGAGUUGAGCUUGAAGUUCUAGUUUGGCCAAGGUCCAAAGUGUUGAUGAUUCCUCUAAUGAUGGCAAUAAGUUACAUGUCAGUUGUGUUUUUUCGGGUUAUGGUAGUCAGUCAUGUUACAGUGAUCCUGGUUAUGCUCUUUAAUGGGACCCUGCAAGUCACCUGGUAUGUGGUAUUGUGGAUGUGACAGUGUAGGUGAGAUCACCUGUUCUUGAGAUGUGUAGGUAAGUGAGGAGGGUGUCCCAAACACUAACCACAGGGUUAACAUGUUCUCUCUGCAGAUAUCUUGUUAAAGUCUUUGUGUUGCACACGUAUGAGAUGAUGUCACAUUAACUCAUUAGACCUCCCUAUUUUCAGAUGUGUAUGUAAUUAGUGAUGUUUUGAAUGCUCUUUCAUUACACAUGCUUUUGGCUUAUAUGCAGUAGUUUAACUUGUAAACACCGUAUUCUUGCAGGAGUCCUGUUAAAACAUGAUGUUCUCUCUGAUAAAAGUGUCAACCCAAAUUAAAGGAAUCACCAAAGUAGAGUUGAUGUGUUCCAUAAUAAUGGAAGUAAAAAGGAAUAUUAGCAGGUGUUCUGGUAGAACAGUUUGUACUUCAACAGACUUUUUCAAUGUGUUUGUUCAGGUUCUUGUCAAGAAAACCAAGUGACCCUCACGGUAUUCACUGAUGGAAGCUUGCUCUUAACCUGGUAUCCCGUUAACGCCUUUGCUACUAUGCAGGUAUUCCUUCAAGAGUGGAAGGUGGCUCCUACUGCGGCUGACCUCAGAGUGUUGCAAGUGUUCAGGUAUUAUUGUUGGGUGCUGAAAUGAUAGAAAUGACCAAGGCAGUUUGGAGGUGUAGAGGUAGAACGAUCCAUGGACCGGACACUUUUUUCACGAUGUGUUUUUCGAGUCAUGUCAAGACCUCACUGUGAGCUUACCAAUGAUAACAUGGGACGUUGCUGUUACCAAGGUAAGUGAUGUGGGCCUAAUCCAUAGCACAGAUCAUCUGAUCUUCACAUACAGACAUAAGAGGUGAUGGGUGUCUCUAAUAUUUCUUUUUAACACACUUCUUAAUAGUAUUCAAAUCAUAGAGGAUAGAUUCCAUCCAAUUCUGGGAACCAUUGUUUUUCACACUUUAUAUUAAAGUGAAAAAUUAUGUUUACCUCUGUGAGUGUUGAGGGAUUGUGUGUAUCCAAACAGUUGUCAUGAUGUUCUGUCCCCAGUAAGUAACCAUGGGAUUUUUAUAAGAUUCCUGUUAUGAAAUGAUGAUGUUAUCUGACCUUGGUGUUGACCUUGAAUUAAUCGAGGGAUCCUUGAUAUGCUCUGUGAUGAUAGAGUGUCCAUGGUUAUUUGCAGAUGUUCUGGCUAAAAAAAAAAAAAAAAAAAAAGUUGUAUCCCUUGAUACAUACUUCAAAAAAUGUUUUUUGGGUUCUUGUCAAGAGACCAUGAUGAACCAGAAGUCAUUAACAGGGGGGACAUUUCUGGUAUGCAGUUAAGAGAGGACAGGCACAUCACAGACCUUCUGAUCUUUGUCCGUCUGGGUGAAUGAUGCUGGAUUGUCGAAACCUGUUUGACUAUGUGAGUUAUUAGCAGGUGUUCAGGUAAACAAGCCAUCAUAAUGUUUUGCUAAUUUUAACAAUCAUUAUCCUGCUGUCCUGUUGUACAGGUAAUAUACGUUUAACUAUGUGAGUGUGGAGUAAUUUCCAUUUUUCUGGGUAAUUCCUGGAUUUCCACCUCACAGUUGUACCCAUGACAAUUUAGAGAUGUGUAGUCAGGAAAUAGUGUGUGUAAAUUUGGCGAACCCUUUCUGUCUGUUUCUCUCUCACACACAGUAAAUAAAGAAAGGGAAAUAAAAGAAAUGACAGAUUCCUUAACCAUUCUAAUAACCAUGAGUUUCUACUUUGCAUAUUUUAGAGAAAAUUUAUGCUUAAUCCUGUAAGUAUCGAGAAAUUGAUCCUGUCUGGGUAAUUGUAUCGUAUACUCACCACAGUAGAAACCAUAGGAUUUUUUCAGGUAUCCGGUCAACUAGUGUUAGUCUCUCCUGAAAACGGUGCGUUGAUCUUGAUUUGGUACAAGUGUGCUGGUGGAAUUCAUGUGUUCCAUAAUAGUGGAAGGGAACAAGUUCACGUGCAGGUGUCUUGAGAGAACGCAUUGUAUCUUAAACACAUUUCUGUGUGUUUCCUCAGGUGCCUGGUAAGAAAACAGGGUGAACUGAAAAUGGUUCACAUACCCUUGCUAGUAAGCAGGUAAGUGUCAAAGUGAAUCCGACUACAAUGAAGGCCAUGUGACCUUGAGUAUCUAGGUAAGCGAGGGUGUUAUCCCUAACAUUGGUGUUAAUGUGGCUUAUUUUUUGAUUUUUGUCGGUAUCAGGUUACUAUCUUUGCUAGUGUGCGGGUAUGAGAUGGUGUGAUAGUAACUGAUUAAAGACCUUUGUUUUCAAGAUUUUAUUUUUAAGUAAUUUCUGCACCCUCCAUGGGGCUCAAACUCACAACUGUAAGAUCCAGAGUCACAUGCUCCACUGACUGAGCCAGGCAGGUACCCCUAAAGACAUUUCUAUAUUCAGGUAUCUACAUAAUUUAUCACUUCAAGUCUCUUCAGUUUACUUUCUUUAUGGGAUGUAAUCAGUUAAGAGUUUACUGUGUCCCUUAUAAUGCUGGUAGCAAUACGAUUACUUUGUGUUCUUGUUUGGAAAUAAGAUCACUUAACAUAGCAGUUACAAAUUUGCAGAUAUCGUGGAAGUUUCUCAUAUUGUCCUUCGCUACUUUAUUGACUAUGGAAUUAGUAUAAGUAAUUUGAAGAGACGAAGGUGCGUCUUCCUAGAGAUUGACCUUGGAGUUCUGCAAGGAUCCAUGGGUCCUGAAAUGAUACAGUGACCAAGGGAAUGUGCAGGUGUAGUGGUAGAAUGAGACGCGCCCAAAAUAUUUUUUGCAACGUUUUUCUUU